rnacentral:rRNA from 1 species
UUAAAUUGAAGAGUUUGAUCAUGGCUCAGAUUGAACGCUGGCGGCAGGCCUAACACAUGCAAGUCGAACGGUAGCAGGAAACAGCUUGCUGUUUCGCUGACGAGUGGCGGACGGGUGAGUAAUGUCUGGGAA